rnacentral:misc_RNA from 1 species
GAAAUGCGAUAAGUAAUGUGAAUUGCAGAAUUCAGUGAAUCAUCGAAUCUUUGAACGCACAUUGCGCCCCUUGGUAUUCCGAGGGGCAUGCCUGUUCGAGCGUCAUUACACCACUCAAGCUAUGCUUGGUAUUGGGUGCCGUCCUUAGUUGGGCGCGCCUUAAAGACCUCGGCGAGGCCUCACCGGCUUUAGGCGUAGUAGAAUUUAUUCGAACGUCUGUCAAAGGAGAGGACUUCUGCCGACUGAAACCUUUUAUUUUUUCUAGGUUGACCUCGGAUCAGGUAGGGAUACCCGCUGAACUUAA